CCUACGGGAGGCAGCAGUGGGGAAUAUUGCACAAUGGGGGGAACCCUGAUGCAGCGACGCCGCGUGGGUGAAGGAGCUUUUCGGCUCGUAAAGCCCUAUCGGCAGGGAAGAUAAUGACGGUACCUGACGAAGAAGCACCGGCUAACUACGUGCCAGCAGCCGCGGUAAUACGGAGGGUGCAAGCGUUAUCCGGAUUGACUGGGUGUAAAGGGGGCGCAGACGGUAAUGCAAGCCAGGAGUGAAAGCCCGGGGCUCAACCCCGGGACUGCAUUUGAAACUGCAUGGCUGGAGUACAGGAGGGGUAGGCGGAAUUCCUGGUGUAGGGGUGAAAUGCGUAGAUAUUAGGAGGAACACCGGUGGCGAAGGCGGCCUGCUGGACUGUAACUGACGUUGAGGCGCGAAAGCGUGGGGAGCAAACAGGAUUAGAUACCCCGGUAGUC
rnacentral:rRNA from 1 species